rnacentral:lncRNA from 1 species
ACUAAAUAUAAAUAAGUAAAUACAUUACAUCAAAUAUAAAUAAAAUUUCAAUCUUUAACACAAUUACACAAACUACAAUCCCAUCAACAUAAGUAUAUAAUCAAAUAUUUAUAAACUUCAAGACUAAUUUAUGUUCUUCUCAAUCUUCAUUCUUAAUCAGAAUAUUUGAGUCUUGUUUGGACAGCAAUGAUGUCUCCAGGUCUGAAUCAGUAUCAUCUAAUAUUCAUUAUCAUAAAAAAAAAAGACAUAGUGAGUUUCAAUUUUAACUAAAAUUAUUAAUUUAACAAGUAAAGAUUAAAGACAUUAAAAUAUAUAAAAUAAACAAAACCAUCAGCAGCUAAAGAAAAGCCAUGCAACUAAUUUUUUGUGCAAACAAGCAUCGAAACAUUUUCAUGGCGAAAGAAACUUCUAAACUUAGUGAGAACAUGACCACUAAUACUAAAAGCAGACUCUGAUACUACCAUAGUAAUCAGAAUGCUCAAUACAUCUCGUGCCAUAAUAGAAAAAUCAGGAAAACACUUAGUAUUGUCCUUCCAAUAAUUAAGCACAUCCAAGUCUUCAAACACUUCAUAAUCAAGCUUUGCCCUCAUCUAAAUAAACAUCCAACUCAGACUUUCCAACGGUAGAAAUUGUUUCAUUUUGAAACAUUUUGAACUCCGAUAAUUUUUAAAUACAUAGACAAAAAAAAUAAUUAUCAAAACAUAAAUAAAGUAACAUAAAUUCUCAUGUAAUAAGACGAAGGAAAGGCACAAAACUUACACUAAAAAUCUUUGAUCCCUUGGGUUUAGUUCCCCCUCCAGCUGGCUUAGGCAAAUUACUCAUUGAGUGAGAAGAUGUA